rnacentral:rRNA from 1 species
UACGUAGGGGGCAAGCGUUGUUCGGAAUUACUGGGCGUAAAGGGCUCGUAGGCGGCCAACUAAGUCAGACGUGAAAUCCCUCGGCUUAACCGGGGAACUGCGUCUGAUACUGGAUGGCUUGAGUUUGGGAGAGGGAUGCGGAAUUCCAGGUGUAGUGGUGGAAUGCGUAGAUAUCGGGAGGAACACCAGUGGCGAAGGCGGCUUCCUGGACCGGUUCUGACACUGAGGAGCGAAAGCGUGGGGAGCGAUCCGG